ACGAGUGGCGGACGGGUGAGUAAUGCUUGGGAAUCUGGCUUAUGGAGGGGGAUAACUACGGGAAACUGUAGCUAAUACCGCGUAAAAUCUUUGGAUUAAAGGGUGGGACUUUCGGGCCACCUGCCAUAAGAUGAGCCCAAGUGGGAUUAGGUAGUUGGUUAGGUAAAGGCUGACCAAGCCGACGAUCUCUAGCUGGUCUGAGAGGAUGACCAGCCACACUGGAACUGAGACACGGUCCAG
rnacentral:rRNA from 1 species